UAUUGACGAAACCACUAACCAUGUUGUCUUUAGCUAUUUUGUGAAAACAUAUUGUGCGUGUAACACAUUCAAUGCGUUACUCUGCUGGCUGGUUCUUGAUGACGCGCCGGUACCAGAACGCCAGAGCCGAAGACCCUGGGAUUCAGUUUUCUGUGUUUGAUGUGCGACAUUUUCAUCAUAUGAACUGGCACAUAUAAAUAUCUCCACACACAAGAACAAUACUCCAAUAUAGGACGUAAUAACGAGAUGUACAGUUGUUUCGUAUAGUUGUGCAUAUUUGAUUAGCUGGUAAAACCAACGGUGAAAAUGGCGCAUCGUUGGUGGCGUUUGGCGCGAAAACAUUUGCCAGUUAUGUAAUGACGAGGAAGAAGCGGAAUCAGUCCCUAACUUCUUCUGCUAUUGCCCGGCCCAUGCAACUCGCCAUCGUCCUCUCUGGGUCCCUUUCCUCAUAAUCAUUUCGGACCUUUCCAAAAUCAAAGUCCCUGACUUUGUAAGCAAAAUUAUCCUAGCCUCCGGAUGGGCCCUUAGUCUACAACAGUUUGCUCUUACGGUCUAGGUAGUGAAAAGGGGCACAAGACCAUGCGACAACACAAUGGAACUAUAAAAGGUCCAAUAGAGCGAUUUAUCGCCCCUCCCCGGCUAACGCCAUAACCUAAGCUAACCUAAUGUAUGGGUGCACACGCAUUCUCACAUUCUGCGUGCAAACUUUAGGAUUUCCGGACAAUUUCGUUAUUGCUUCUGCUUUUUUUUUGAAGCAGAUUGCCCCACAAUAUCGGAAGAACUAUUCAUUUGUAUAUGCUUUAUAUGCUGAUUUUGUUUAAACGCUGGAUUACUGGCGAUACCAGGGCUGGGUAGUUCCCCUUGCCCAUCAUAUGUAAGCAAACAAAGAGAUAUACGACCGCUCGGGAUUCAAAAGAAACAAAUACCCUACAAUACACAAUAAAAUAUCAGCCAAAGAAACCCAUAAAGGACAUGAGGCAAGAGAAGAUGAUGCAGGACUUAAUCAGCACCCAAACGAAAUUCCAGAACGACUUGUUAGAAGUUAAAAAAAAAAAAAUUAAUAAGUUAUUAA